rnacentral:lncRNA from 1 species
AUUUUUUUUUUGUUAGUAUGUUUUCAUCUUAGAAUUUUCUUUGCUGUAACUCUUUUCUUAUCCAGAAAUGUUCUUAGUCUCUGAUUAUCCCAUGAACGACUGGUGUUCUUUCCUGCCAUUCAGAUCUUACCUUAAAUUGUCACUUCUACCAAGAAGCUUUCCUGACAACACAAUCUAAAGAAUCUGUUUCGGACUUCCUCCAUAACAUCUCUAAUUUUCAGCAUGGGAUCCAUCUGACAUUUCUUCCCUCUUUCCAUUCUUUCUUCACUUCCUCCUUUCUGCCCACCUUUCCUGAUAGAUUUCAAGUUCCAUGAGAGUUAGAACCUUGACUGUCUGAUGUCCUAUGGUAGCUUCAGCACAGAGGAGAGUAAGUGAUUCUUAAUAUUCCUCAGUAAAUAUUUUAAUUAAAUUAUAAAUAGAUGGAUAUUUGCUGCAUUAACAAUUACUUCUUAAAUGUGCUUGUUUUGUUGCCGAGCUUUUAACUUUUUUUUUGUUUGUUUGUUUUUUGCACUGUAUCAAAGAGGAGCCAUUGAAGAAUACUGUUGUCCUAUCCCAGAAGGAGCAAGCGGACAACACUGAUAUCCUGACCACUAACCAUCCAGCACCACUUAAAGAGGUCCCAAAACCCCCGGCUGUCUACCAAUACCCAUCUGUGACCUCUUAGGAACCGAGCUUCACAGCAGGAGGUGAAUGGUGGACAAGCGAGCAUUAUCGCCUCAGCUCCACCUCCUGUCAGUUUUAAAAAGAAUAACAGAAAGAAAGAAGUGGCUGAAACCUAAAUGCCAUAUGGAGAAGACAGCUAAUUGGUAAGAAAAUAAUUUUUAUUUCCAGUUUUGAAUGGGUAAUAAAAACAACUGAGAGGAAGGAAAAAUAACAUUAUACAGUAGGUGGUGGCAGUUUCCUCUGAAGUAAUCAUGCAUUAAAGUAUAAAGUUGUACAUAGCUUGGAGAAGUGUGCUGCUUCUCAGAUACUCAAUUGGUUAAAGGCAAACAAGCUAGUAUAAAGUGGUUGAGUACAAAGAUGUCAUUUCCUCCUCCCAUCAAAUUAAAGAGGGUUGUAAAGUUUUUCUGUGUGUGACACAAACAGUGGUGUGCUUUACCUACUGCCAGCUUGGAUCACUGUGAUAGGACUUGCUGGUAAACAUCACUGCAUCAUGGAUUUAAAGAGGUGUCACCUCUUUUUCAUUUGGCUGGAAGAUGAUAAUUAGCAGACAAGUGUCUCCUGAUACUCAUAGGAGGGAGCAAAACAGGAAAUCAAAGGCUUCCUACUCUGCAAAUAAUUGUUUGCAAAUGCCUGGGUCUGUCAGGAUUCCAGAAGAUAGUGAACAUUUCUCAGCUGGCGAAGCACUGCCUUUUUGACUCUGAUGUCUGCAUCUUAUCAUAGUGUGCAAAUUAUUUAGCAACUGCCACAUUAUUUAUAGGUAUGAAUUGAACAAAUUAAUCUCAUAAAUAAUUCAUUUGGGGGGCUGUGAAUUAGCAGGGCACCACAGUAAAAUAAAAAUCUACUUUUACAAAGCUGAUAUCAAUUGUCAUUGUGAGUUAGAUUCAAUCUUUUUUCAAACAACAUUUUAGCAUACUGCAUGUGGCCUUUUUAAGGUUUAGAACCAAGACUGUGCAGAUGAGGUGAAUACAAGUAUCUAGACAAUCUGUUGGAGUGCUCUAAAAAUAAUAAAAGGAAUAUAAGUGCGGAAUUCUGGUGUGAAUUAUCCAGAUAAUUGCUGCACUUUUUCAAUUCACCUUGGGUGCAUAGUUUUUUAAAAACUGUCUUUUUCCUUAAUGAGAGUUCUGAAAUAUAGAGACUUAUAAGAUGAAAUAGUUUGAUACAGAAGAAAGUAGGUCUUGUCCUAACAGAGCAGCAGGCUGUCAAACUAUUUCAUCAAUCAAAAAACCAAGAACAGGCCUUAGAUACCCCACAAUUUUUAAAACUGGAAACAGUGGGAAAAAUUUUACUUCCCUACAGUGAGACAUAAGAAUGUCAAUGUGGACCUGAGAGAAAGACAGUCGCAAGUUUGUUUGCUAGUAGACUCCUAGGGAGCUGAACACAAAAAUCCCAUAAAUAAUUAGCUCUCCUGUGACAGGCUUCUGAAUUACUGUGAUACAUUAAUUGGACAAAAUUAGCAUGAAUUAAGGCAAAUAACUAUAACAUGUAAUUUAUUACUUACUAAGCAUGGUGCUGCAGUGGAAGCUUCGGAUUUCCCUUAAGAUUGCUUUAACAGCUAUAAUGCAUUCCUUAAUUUACUCUGUGGAAAAUCAAUUUUUUCAGAGUUCAUUAAGCACCAAUAUGUUACAAUGCAGCUCUCUAGAGCAUAGAGCCUCAAUACAUUAUGCAAAUCCAUGCCAGUGUGGCACCAAUAUGUAAAUAGAAGUAAUGUUAUUGUCAGUUUCCUAUUGAUAAGUCUGAUGAGAAUGAGAAUACCUAGAACUUCUUGAAUUUGUUGACUUAUUUUGUGUGGUUGGGGCUGUUGCAUGCUGUCCUUCACUGAAUAUAAUGCCAAUAUUUCUUGCAAGGUAUAGCAAGGCUUUCAUCAAUGACUGGAAACAGUGUCAUUUCCAUUUAAUUCCAUGCCUUCUUGUCUAUGCUAACCAACCAAUCAACAAGUGUUUAUUAAGUAUAUAUUAUGGGCCUAGUGGAGUCCCUUCUGCAUUUUAAGUGAUAAUAAGCUUUAUUUACCUAAUUUGAUCCACAGAAAUAAUUUAGGUCAUCAAAGCUGCAAUUUCAUGGAAAUACAUCUCAAUUCCCCAUUUCACUUGGCAUCAAUUGACUUAGGUCAUAUUAACAAAAAAAAUAACAUGUGGUUCAAUUGAAAAUAAUUUUGUAAAAAGCAGUACGUUCAAGAAAAGUAUAAUUGAAGCAAUUUGUUUGGCUUUAAGACUUAGUAGAAGAACUAUUAUUAUAAAAACUAAUAUCCACAAUAUCUGAUUUUUCAAGUUGGUGAUUUUGUUUUCCCAAUAAAUAGCAAUUCUGUAAUCCUUAUGACUUAUUUUUUAAAUGUUUCUUUUAGUUUCUAAUUAAUUUUCCACUAUUUAUUUUUUCUCUGGGUUAUUUAUACCAUUAAAAAAUCAAUUAAGUCUCAAUGUUCAGAAAUAAUAGAAUGCUAUGGACUGAAUUUUAUCUCCCCCAAAUUCAUAUGUUGAAGCCCUAAUCCCCAGUGUGAUAGUAUUGGGGAUGAGGACUUGGGGAGGUAAUUAGGUUUAGAUGAGAUCAUGAGGGUGAGGACAUGAUGAUGGAAUUAGUGCUCUUAUGAGAAGAGAUACCAGAAACAUGCUCACACACUCUCCCUCCCCACCAUGUGAGGAUACAGGGAGAAAGCACUUAUCUGCAAGCCAGGAAGUGAACCCUUGCCAAAGCCCAACCAUGCAGGCACCCUGAUCUCAAACUUUCAGACUCCAGAACUGUGAGGAAUAAGUUUGUGUUAUUUAAGCCAUCCAGUUUAUGGUACUUUGUUAAGGCAGCCUAAGAUGGCUAAGACAUUGGGUAACAGUUGGAAUAAUAUAAAUGUGUACAAUUUGGUUGCUUGCAUAUAAAAAUUAUGUUGAUUUAUAAAAUAUUAGGUAGAAUAUGAUUCCUUUUUUUGGUUCCAAAAUACUCUUUCUAUAUUAUAUAUAUAACAUGUAUAUAAAAUAUAUAAAUAUAUUUGUAUAUAUAAAUAUAUAAUAUAUAAUACAUAAAUAUUAUCAUUUAUAGAAUACAAAAAUAUAUAAUGUAUACAAAUAUAUUAUAUAUGAUGUAUUAUUUAUAUUAUAUAAUAUAUAUCAUAUAAUAUAUAAAUGUGUAAUAUAUAAAAAAUAUAAUAUAUAAAAUAUAAUAUAAGUACAUAUUAUAUAUACAUUUAUGGAAGAUGGAGGAUAUAUAUCUAGAAGUUAUCUGCAAUGAAUACUUUCAUUUCCUGCAAUAAAUAAGAGCUAAAUAUUAUUUAAAUGAAAGGAAUUAUAUAGGACCAUACGGAAUUAUUUUCCCUACUGAUUCUAUUUCUUCUUUCUUCCCUGCUUACUUGGUUCUAGCCACACUCUCCUCUUUGGUCUUUCCUGGUACGCAGCAUACAAGCCCACAGAUUGAGGACUCUGCACUUGCUGUUCUCUCUGCCUGGAGCUCUAUGGCUCCAGAUAGACUCCUGCCAACUCCUUCGCCUUGUCCAAGUUACCUUCAUUAAAUGUCAGCUUAAAUGUGUGCCUACUUUUUGCCCUACCUAGAAUUGCAAGCACCUCUCACCACUGUGCUCCCAUUCUCCUUAACUUAAGCCACUUUUAUUCUCAUAAUAAAGCCACAUAUUUUUUCUUAUUAUAUCAUAAUCGUACUGUAUAAUUUAUAUUUUAUUACUUUUGUUUGUAUACUUAUUGUAUGUUUCUGUUCACAAGGAUGUAAACCCCAUGAACACAGAGAUCUUUGAUUGUUUUAUUCACUGAUUUAUGCCAAAUGUUUGGAACAAUGCCUGGCACAUAGUAGAUGUUUGAUAAUUUUUUUUUUUUCUGAAUGAAUAAAUACAUUUUAGC